rnacentral:miRNA from 1 species
CUUUGCAGCUUCUUUACUUUGCUGCCUUGGAAAAAGGUAAGCUCUUGGUGAGUUCUCAUAAAUGAGACGCAAGA